rnacentral:rRNA from 1 species
CCUACGGGUGGCAGCAGUGAGGAAUAUUGGUCAAUGGGCUUACGCCUGAACCAGCAAAGUCGCGUGAGGGAAGACUGCCCUAUGGGUUGUAAACCUCUUUUGUCAGGGAGCACCGCCGGCUACGUGUAGCCGGUCUGAGAGUACCUGAAGAAAAAGCAUCGGCAAACUACGUGACAGCAGCCGCGGUUAUACGGAGGAUGCGAGCGUUAUACGGAUUUCUGGGGUUAAAAGGGUGCGUAGGCGGAAUGCCACGUCAGCGGGAAAAUCGCGGGGCUCAACCGCGAUCCGCCGUUGAAACUGGCGUUCUUGAGCGGGCGAGAAGUAUGCGGAAUGCGUGGUGUAGCGGUGAAAUGCAUAGAUAUCACGCAGAACACCGAUUGCGAAGGCAGCAUACCGGCGCCCAACUGACGCUGAAGCACGAAAGCGUGGGUAUCGAACAGGAUUAGAUACCCUGGUAGUC